UAGGGAAUCUUCCACAAUGGACGCAAGUCUGAUGGAGCAACGCCGCGUGAGUGAAGAAGGCUUUCGGAUCGUAAAGCUCUGUUGUUGGUGAAGAAGGAUAGAGGCAGUAACUGGUCUUUAUUUGACGGUAAUCAACCAGAAAGUCACGGCUAACUACGUGCCAGCAGCCGCGGUAAUACGUAGGUGGCAAGCGUUGUCCGGAUUUAUUGGGCGUAAAGCGAGCGCAGGCGGAAUGAUAAGUCUGAUGUGAAAGCCCACGGCUCAACCGUGGAACUGCAUCGGAAACUGUCAAUCUUGAGUGCAGAAGAGGAGAGUGGAAUUCCAUGUGUAGCGGUGGAAUGCGUAGAUAUAUGGAAGAACACCAGUGGCGAAGGCGGCUCUCUGGUCUGCAACUGACGCUGAGGCUCGAAAGCAUGGGUAGCGAACAGG
rnacentral:rRNA from 1 species